rnacentral:rRNA from 1 species
GGAGCUUGCUCCUUUGACGUUAGCGGCGGACGGGUGAGUAACACGUGGAUAACCUACCUAUAAGACUGGGAUAACUUCGGGAAACCGGAGCUAAUACCGGAUAACAUAUUGAACCGCAUGGUUCAAUAGUGAAAGGCGGCUUUGCUGUCACUUAUAGAUGGAUCCGCGCCGUAUUAGCUAGUUGGUAAGGUAACGGCUUACCAAGGCAACGAUACGUAGCCGACCUGAGAGGGUGAUCGGCCACACUGGAACUGAGACACGGUCCAGACUCCUACGGGAGGCAGCAGUAGGGAAUCUUCCGCAAUGGGCGAAAGCCUGACGGAGCAACGCCGCGUGAGUGAUGAAGGUCUUCGGAUCGUAAAACUCUGUUAUCAGGGAAGAACAAAUGUGUAAGUAACUGUGCACAUCUUGACGGUACCUGAUCAGAAAGCCACGGCUAACUACGUGCCAGCAGCCGCGGUAAUACGUAGGUGGCAAGCGUUAUCCGGAAUUAUUGGGCGUAAAGCGCGCGUAGGCGGUUUUUUAAGUCUGAUGUGAAAGCCCACGGCUCAACCGUGGAGGGUCAUUGGAAACUGGAAAACU